CCUACGGGUGGCAGCAGUGGGGGAUAUUGCACAAUGGGGGAAACCCUGAUGCAGCGACGCCGCGUGGGUGAAGAAGUAUUUCGGUAUGUAAAGCCCUAUCAGCAGGGAAGAAAGAAGACGGUACCUGACUAAGAAGCCCCGGCUAACUACGUGCCAGCAGCCGCGGUAAUACGUAGGGGGCGAGCGUUAUCCGGAUUCACUGGGUGUAAAGGGAGCGUAGACGGCCGUGCAAGCCAGGAGUGAAAGCCCGGGGCCCAACCCCGGGACUGCUCGUGGAACUGUGCGGCUGGAGUGCGGGAGGGGCAGGCGGAAUUCCUGGUGUAGCGGUGAAAUGCGUAGAUAUCAGGAGGAACACCGGCGGCGAAGGCGGCCUGCUGGACCGCGACUGACGUUGAGGCUCGAAAGCGUGGGGAGCGAACAGGAUUAGAUACCCGGGUAGUC
rnacentral:rRNA from 1 species